ensembl:lncRNA
UUUUUUAAGUCUUCAUUGUAAUAGCUGCUGUCUCUUCUCCAUACCAGUUACAGAAUCACAGAAUCACCAAAUGUCAGGGUUUGGAAGGAGCCUUGAAAGAUCAUGUUGUCCAAUCCUCCCGCUUUAGCCGGAAUGCCUUGAUUAGGUCACUCAGGAAUGUGUCCAGGCAGGUUUUGAAUAAGAGAAGAGAAGAGAAGAGAAGAGAAGAGAAGAGAAGAGAAGAGAAGAGAAGAGAAGAGAGAAGAGAAGGACAGAUGAGCUAAUAAAAAUUGUAUUAUUUAUCUUGAAAAAAUAAAUGCCGGAAUCCUGGCUAAGUAGGGAAAAGGGUAUAUAUAUAUUUUUUAAGUCUUCAUUGUAAUAGCUGCUGUCUCUUCUCCAUACCAGUUCCAGAAUCACAGAAUCACCAAAUGUCAGGGUUUGGAAGGAGCCUUGAAAGAUCAUGUUGUCCAAUCCUCCCGCUUUAGCCGGAAUGCCUUGAUUAGGUCAC